AUUCAGCAGUGUUUUUCUCUCAAAAUAAAUCAACGAAUAAUAUUUUUUACCAUGGUUUAUCAGCCAAACAAACAAGGUCGUGCGGAAGGUCGGCGGCGCACACCACCUACAUGCAUCAGCAUUAACAACUUACAACUCAAUCUAUACUAUGGUGGAGAAGGUCGGAACUAACCGUUCCAUGCUACUUUUUGUCGUGCGAUUGGAGAGCGUGUGAUCUGUCUCCCUCCUCGCACUCGCCUCCUCAGGUGGUGGUGGCGGAACCGGCACCACAAGGCUUAGAAGGGGCUGGCUAGGGGGAGACAAGACGACCAGGUGUGGGGAAAGGAGCUCGGGCGGCUUAGGGGCCCAGGCGAUGGCGGUUGCAACCGCACCAGGAAGGGGCGGGGGCACCAUGGCCAGAGAGGGAGGGAAGAAGGUGGCCACCAUGGGCGCUCCGGUGAACCCUAGCGGUCGCAACAGGGCGGUGGUCGGCAGGGGAGGCGAGCACGAGGAGGAUAGCGAGGACGAGAGGUGGGCGGCGCGGUCGCUGGCUAGGAAUGGCAGGUGAGGAAGGCGGGGACAGAGGUAGAAGAUAAACAUGGGUCGUGUGAUCCGCGAGUGCGCGACAAGGUCGCACUUUAGCAUCCCCUUAAAUUUCCAAACAUCAAGGAAUACGACCAUACAAGAUAAUAGUUAUGUACAUGAAAAAAAUGGAUAAAUGUGGUACAUGCAUGCUCGUAUCCUCUCAAACCGUGUAUAGGUUCAAUUGUAUCUAACUAUCUAUGGCUGAGAAUUCACUGGCUAGAAACAAUGACAAGCAUGUUCCUUGGAGCAUCGUCACCCGUUGGUGCCAAGCUGAUCUAGAAGACAUUGGCGCCUCUAAGGAUGAAGUUUUUAUUUUGGUUGGUCAUGCUCAGAUGGUGCUGGACAACAGAUAGGAGAUUUCACUAUGGAUUGCAGGAUUCAAACACCUGUAUCAUCUGCAAGACUGCAACCAAAAACCGGAAACAAUGGACCACAUUGUGCUGGGCUGCUCUUUUAGUGACGAGGUUUGGAUUCGUGGAUUAGAAGACUACGUCUCCAAAAUGACAUUAUAGUACGAGAAGAAGUGGCAAUGGAAGGUGGCUGCACAACAGAAAGAUGAUCCCAGAAAACCUAUUCGACGGGGCUUUAACUCCUUAUUCUUCCUCGUUGGUUGGUUGCUCUAGAAUGAAGGAAAACGAGAACAUUCAAUGGAGUCAUAACAUCAACAGCGCAAUUGAGAGCCCUGAUCCAAGAGGAGAUUGACGCUUGGUGCUGGACCUAAGCUCACUCAUGGCGCUUCUCUGAUGUAUCUCUUACUCACGUCGUCUUUGACUCUUUGCGUAAUUACAAUCACGUGAGAGCCUAGUUCCUAUUGGUCACCUGGGUAACCUUGGAUUACCAUUGUUACUGAUGGUUGUAACAAAACUCUUUAUAGUCUCUGAAGUUUUUUUUUUUAA